AAAUUCACAGAGACUCCAGAAUGAAAAACAAACCCUAAGGGAAAGCAAUGCACCAGCAGAUGACAGCGGCUCACUUCAAGAGCAGGUGAAGCAAGUUGGGAUAAUGUUGAAGAUGUUUGCUCACACUGGGCAAUCAGGUGCAGACGUCUUGGAGAGUUUGGGCGAUGUUGUGCGCAGCAUGGACAACAAAAUGGACUCUAUGCUGCAUCAUUUUGAGUUCCCCUUCGAGGAAACUCGCACUGCGUCAUCAUUAUGACACUUUGGGGAAUGCCCCAGCGUAGCGCGUCUGAAGCAUGAAUGAAAUCUGUCCGAUCCUGAUUGGUGCUGCGUCACGACGUAGUAAAUGACGGCAUAACCGGAAGAUACAAAGGGGACGCUGACACAAACAACA